UACAGAGGGGGCAAGCGUUAUUCGGAAUUAUUGGGCGUAAAGGGCGCGUAGGCGGCGAUUCAAGUGACGGGUGAAAUCCCUCGGCUUAACCGAGGAACUGCCUGUCAGACUGGGUUGCUUGAGACCGGGAGAGGCGAGUGGAAUUCCCAGUGUAGCGGUGAAAUGCGUAGAUAUCAGGAGGAACACCGGUGGCGAAGGCGCCUAUCUGGCCCGAUACUGACGCUGAGGCGCGAAAGCUAGGGGAGCAAACGGG
rnacentral:rRNA from 1 species